AAAGCAGAAACAUCAUUGCCCAUUUUCUUCUUUGUAUGCUGUUCUCGCAACAAAAAUCAUAUCACUGAUGAAUACAGAAGCAAAUAGAUGAAAUUAUUUCAAUGAUUGUUAAUUAAGGACGAUAAAAUAGCUGCUCUCCAUUUUUUUGCUUUUCAUUAGCACUCCUGCUUAUUUUUUGGGUUUCUUCUCAGCGGGUGUCAAAUCUGUAAUCAUUGUGGUUCACUAGAGGACAGUUACU